AGGAGAACAUGGACUUGAGCCUGCUUCGCUUCCAUUGCUUUUUGACUUCACUGUCACAGGUUCUUUCCUUAUUCUUACUUUCUUUGCUGCUUCCUCCUUUUCUAGUAUGCAACCCUGUUUCACAUGAAUCUCAAUUCGCAAUCUUGACACUAAAAAAGUCGAUGUUCUAUUUAAGAUUAUUUAUUUAUAAAGGCUUUUUAUUCAAUCUUUUGUUUUACUUACUGGUUGUUCUUUAGGUGACUCGGCUUCAUCUUCGUCCCUUCUUCUUCCUUUGCUUGGUUUCUCUGCUGAACUAGAGAAUUCUGAGAAUGAGUCUGAUGGGGUCCCAAGGUCGAAACUUCCUUCUCUAUUAAACAAAUAAAACUCUCUGUUAUACUCUACACUUCCUAUAAAAUCAAACUACACAAGUGUGAUCAUCAAGCUUACCUUGUCUGGAUGAGUUUCCCCUUGCAGAUGAACCACAUUUUACAGCUAUGAGGUGCAUGUUGAAGCACAUACUCUGCUUUUCUAGAUGUGAUACCCAUCCGCCUGCAUCAUCAAAGAGAGGUUAGCGUACUUGCUUUAUCCACUGAUCUUUCUAGUUUUCAUUACAUGGACUGAUUCAUUAGAAGAAUCUUUAAACUUUUAGUUAUUGAUUGAUUUUUGGAUCUAUCCUUGCCUGGAGUAGUGAGGAUCAGCUGCUGCUCCCAUAACGAGCUUCUUGAUGCUGUUUUCGUAGAUGAGUUCCACAAUACCUUCACCCACACCAUAUCCUGAGAUCAAUGAUAUGUCCACGUCUUCUUCAUUAACCUGCAUCCAUGUAGAAUUCUGUUAAUUAGUUUUCAAGUUAUGUUUCCUUUUAUCUCCGUCAAUCGAGGGUCGAUUAUGCGUUUGGACUAUUCCGGUUUUUCGCUCUAAAGUGAUAUCUAAACAAAGAAAACCAAUUGACGAUUAGCAGAUUAGUCAUACUGUGAUUCUUAAGCCUCAAACUCUAGUGUUGUUGAUUCUUUGCUUGGAUUAACACUGUCAUCUCUACCGAAAAAAGAACUCACCCCUUCUUUUAUGCAGAGAUCACGGUACGUGUAGAGGCUACGAUAUGAAGUCUUGAGUUCUGAAUCUUGGAUUGCAUCGAUCUCACCUUGUGUAAGCCCACAUGCUGAAAGUGCAAAAACAAAAAGAUCGUUGAAAAACAGAGCAGAACUGAUGAUGUGUGACUUAUUAGCUACAAAUGGGUACAUCCGCAUACGCCCAAAAAUCGAAUUGGUUACACAC
rnacentral:lncRNA from 1 species